rnacentral:rRNA from 1 species
AUUGAACGCUGGCGGCAGGCCUAACACAUGCAAGUCGAGCGAGCGGCGGACGGGUGAGUAAUGUAUGGGGACUGCCCGAUAGAGGGGGAUAACUACUGGAAACGGUGGCUAAUACCGCAUAUUAUCGGAUAACCCAUAUGGGAUUAGCUAGUAGGUGGGGCAAAGGCUCACCUAGGCGACGAUCUCUCACUGGUCUGAGAGGAUGAUGAGCCACACUGGGACAGAGAGCCGGCCAAGACUCCUACGGAGGCAGCAGUGGGGAAUAUUGCACAAUGGGCGGAAGACGGAUGCAGCCAGGCCGAGUGUAUGAAGAAGGCCUUAGGGUUGUAAAGUACUUUCAGCGGGGAGGCGUUAACCGCAGAAGAAGCACCGGCUAAGUCCGUGCCAGCAGCCACGGUAAUUC